GACGAACGCUGGCGGCGUGCUUAACACAUGCAAGUCGAGCGGUAAGGCCCUUUCGGGGGUACACGAGCGGCGAACGGGUGAGUAACACGUGGGUGACCUGCCCUUAGCUCUGGGAUAAGCCUGGGAAACUGGGUCUAAUACCGGAUAUGACUCCAUGACGCAUGUUGUGGGGUGGAAAGCCUUGUGCGGCUAGGGAUGGGCCCGCGGCCCAUCAGCUUGUUGGUGGGGUGAUGGCCUACCAAGGCGACGACGGGUAGCCGGCCUGAGAGGGCGACCGGUCACACUGACACUGACAUACGGGUCAGACUCCUACGGGAGGCAGCAGUCGGGAAUUUUGGGCAAUGGGCGAAAGCCUGACCCAGCAACGCCGCGUGAAGGAUGAAAUCCCUCGGGAUGUAAACUUCGCAAGAACGGG
rnacentral:rRNA from 1 species